rnacentral:rRNA from 1 species
UGGGGAAUCUUGCGCAAUGGGCGAAAGCCUGACGCAGCGACGCCGCGUGAGCGAUGAAGGCCUUCGGGUUGUAAAGCUCUGUGGGGAGGGACGAAUAAGUCGGAGCGAACAGCUCCGAUGAUGACGGUACCUCCUUAGCAAGCACCGGCUAACUCUGUGCCAGCAGCCGCGGUAAGACAGAGGGUGCAAACGUUGUUCGGAAUUACUGGGCGUAAAGCGCAUGUAGGCGGCUCGGAAAGUCGGAUGUGAAAGCCCAGGGCUCAACCCUGGAAGUGCACUCGAAACUCCCGAGCUGGAGUCCCGGAGAGGAAGGCGGAAUUCUCGGUGUAGAGGUGAAAUUCGUAGAUAUCGAGAGGAACACCUGUGGCGAAGGCGGCCUUCUGGACGGUGACUGACGCUGAGAUGCGAAAGCGUGGGGAGCAAACAG